rnacentral:rRNA from 1 species
UUCCCCCUGGACGAAGACUGACGCUCAGGUGCGAAAGCGUGGGGAGCAAACAGGAUUAGAUACCCUGGUAGUCCACGCCGUAAACGAUGUCGACUUGGAGGUUGUGCCCUUGAGGCGUGGCUUCCGGAGCUAACGCGUUAAGUCGACCGCCUGGGGAGUACGGCCGCAAGGUUAAAACUCAAAUGAAUUGACGGGGGCCCGCACAAGCGGUGGAGCAUGUGGUUUAAUUCGAUGCAACGCGAAGAACCUUACCUGGUCUUGACAUCCACAGAACUUUGCAGAGAUGGAUUGGUGCCUUCGGGAACUGUGAGACAGGUGCUGCAUGGCUGUCGUCAGCUCGUGUUGUGAAAUGUUGGGUUAAGUCUGCACGCGAUU